AGAAACUUCCACUUCACAGGAGGAGCGGACUCUUGCCAGCCAGCUAGCGAGUGGCUGGUUGGCACUUCCUUUGGAGUCAAGCCAGCAACAUGUUAUACUCCAUGUACCUCGUCACAAGCAGGACCCCAAAGCAGAAGAACCAGAUGAGAUCUCUGUUUGUCAGUGUUGGUUCGGCACUCCUGGGUUCAAGUGGACAUCUUGCCUUAGCAUCCCAGCUACCUGCAGAUCUGGACAUAGAACUCUCAUCUACCUCUUCAGCACAUCUGCCUGCACAGCACCAUGCUUCCUGCCCUGAUGACUAUGGACUAAACCUCUGAACUGUAAACCAGACUUAAUUAAAUACUUUCCUUUAUAAGAGUUGCUGUGGUCAUGAUGUCUCUUCACAGAAAUAGAAGCCCUCACUAAGACAGCUAGAGAAAAAGGACCUUCUGCCCACUGCCAGUUAUAUUUGCUGGUCAUUGACAAGCUGGAGUUAGUAGAGGGAACCUUGGAUCCAGUAGCACGAUAGCCUGAUCUCUUAGGGCAGUUUCAUCCAGAGAAGGUCUGUCUCUGUCUCUGUCUCUCUGUCUCUCUGUCUCUCUGUCUCUCUGUCUCUCUGUCUCUCUGUCUCUCUGUCUCUCUGUCUCUCUCUCUCUCUCUCUCUCUCUCUCUCUCUCUCUC